CGAACGCUGGCGGCGUGCCUAAUACAUGCAAGUCGAGCGGACUGAUUAAGAGCUUGCUCUUAUGACGUUAGCGGCGGACGGGUGAGUAACACGUGGGCAACCUGCCCUGUAGAUCGGGAUAACACCGAGAAAUCGGUGCUAAUACCGGGUAAUAUCUGAGAUCACAUGAUCUUAGGUUAAAAGAUGGCUCCGGCUAUCACUACAGGAUGGGCCCGCGGCGCAUUAGCUAGUUGGUAAGGUAAUGGCUUACCAAGGCGACGAUGCGUAGCCGACCUGAGAGGGCGAUCGGCCACACUGGGACUGAGACACGGCCCAGACUCCUACGGGAGGCAGCAGUAGGGAAUCUUCCGCAAUGGACGAAAGUCUGACGGGGCAACGCCGCGUGAGUGAUGAAGGGUUUCGGCUCGUAAAGCUCUGUUGUUAGGGAAGAAACAGUACCGAACGAACUAGGUCGGUACCUUGACGGUACCUAACCAGAAAGCCACGGCUAACUACGUG
rnacentral:rRNA from 1 species